rnacentral:rRNA from 2 species
GGUGAACCUGCGGAAGGAUCAUUACCGAGUGCGGGUCCUUUGGGCCCAACCUCCCAUCCGUGUCUAUUAUACCCUGUUGCUUCGGCGGGCCCGCCGCUUGUCGGCCGCCGGGGGGGCGCCUUUGCCCCCCGGGCCCGUGCCCGCCGGAGACCCCAACACGAACACUGUCUGAAAGCGUGCAGUCUGAGUUGAUUGAAUGCAAUCAGUUAAAACUUUCAACAAUGGAUCUCUUGGUUCCGGCAUCGAUGAAGAACGCAGCGAAAUGCGAUAACUAAUGUGAAUUGCAGAAUUCAGUGAAUCAUCGAGUCUUUGAACGCACAUUGCGCCCCCUGGUAUUCCGGGGGGCAUGCCUGUCCGAGCGUCAUUGCUGCCCUCAAGCCCGGCUUGUGUGUGGGGUCGCCGUCCCCCUCUCCGGGGGGACGGGCCCGAAAGGCAGCGGCGGCACCGCGUCCGAUCCUCGAGCGUAUGGGGCUUUGUCACAUGCUCUGUAGGAUUGGCCGGCGCCUGCCGACGUUUUCCAACCAUUCUUUCCAGGUUGACCUCGGAUCAGGUAGGGAUACCCGCUGAACUUAAGCAU